CUCACAUUCAACAUUUCAUGGGAAACUGAAAUUCCUUUGGGUCAAACCAUCACUAAAUAUUUUACAUUUAGAAUGAGAUGAAUACUUAAAUAAUGUCCCAAAACUGCCAACUUCAGUCCACAUCUGCAUGCUAUUUACUUCUCUAGCAAAACAAUUUCUUCGACUUGUGGACUGUGAUUAUGUCUUUCAUAGUGUUAACCUGUGAUUUUACUGAUUAUCUAUUGCAUUUCCUCUCUUGCUUAAUUAGUCAUGUCCAAGCAUGUACGUCACUUGAUUUCUUCUGUUUUUUCAUUUUCCUUUUCUCCUCUUUUGUAUCUGUCCUUGCUUCCAACCGUUUAAACUGCUGCAAACGGAUUUCUUGCAAUUUUGUUUUCGCAUCUUUAAAGAGUGCAUCUGAUCUAGAAGCCAUCAAUUGCUUCAGAUGAUCCAUUGCUGCAAGAUUGAAUCCAAGUGUAUCCUUGCACUCCUUGACUCUUGCAUAAAGAAUGUCCUUGAGAACAGUCAACACAGGUCUUGCAGCUGGGGUGGUAACUAACUGAUUAUGAUGUGUCUGCAAUAGCACGG
rnacentral:misc_RNA from 1 species